GGUUCCAUCUAGGAAGCUAUCAGUUAGCCUGGAAAGAGGCACCGGACGAGGGACAGGCGCAGCUUGUGCCUUGGACUUAAAGACAGUAGUAUGGAAAUAUCGACUCUGAGAAGGAAUGACCCGUGUUCUAGUUGUGUAUGAUCCACUCUGAGAUAAAGUCCUCCGAAUGGCAAGCCUUGCCACACUAGUGCCAGCUCUAAACCACGCCAUAGAGAACAAUGCAAACUACUAAAUACCACAGAUUUCUCAAAGAUUGUACUACCCCGGAUCAAACCUCAAGUACGAACAUAUGUAUUUUCUCUUAUAGAACAAGUCCUGC
rnacentral:misc_RNA from 1 species